AGUGAACGCUGGCGGUAGGCCUAACACAUGCAAGUCGAACGGCAGCACAGUAAGAGCUUGCUCUUACGGGUGGCGAGUGGCGGACGGGUGAGGAAUACAUCGGAAUCUACUUUUUCGUGGGGGAUAACGUAGGGAAACUUACGCUAAUACCGCAUACGACCUACGGGUGAAAGCAGGGGAUCUUCGGACCUUGCGCGAUUGAAUGAGCCGAUGUCGGAUUAGCUAGUUGGCGGGGUAAAGGCCCACCAAGGCGACGAUCCGUAGCUGGUCUGAGAGGAUGAACAGCCACACUGGAACAGAGACACGGUCCAGACUCCUAAGGGAGGCAGCAGUGGGGAAUAUUGGACAAUGGGCGCAAGCCUGAUCCAGCCAUACCGCGUGGGUGAAGAAGGCCUUCGGGUUGUAAAGCCCUUUUGUUGGGAAAGAAAAGCAGCAGGUUAAUACCCCGCUGUUCUGACGGUACCCAAAGAAUAAGCACCGGCUAACUUCGUG
rnacentral:rRNA from 1 species